UACGUAGGUGACAAGCGUUGUCCGGAUUUACUGGGCGUAAAGAGCGCGCAGGCGGUCGAUCAAGUCGAGUGUGAAAGCCCCGGCUCAACUGGGAGGGUCAUUCGAUACUGAUCGACUCGAAGGCAGGAGAGGUAGUGGAAUUCCGGUGUAGUGGUGAAAUGCGCAGAUAUCAGGAGGAACACCAAUGGCGAAGGCAGCUCGCUGGACGGUACUGACGCUGAGGCGCGAAGCGUGGGAGCAACAGG
rnacentral:rRNA from 1 species